rnacentral:rRNA from 1 species
GACGAACCGUGCAAACGUUGUUCGGAAUCACUGGGCUUAAAGGGCGCGUAGGCGGCUCACCAAGUCAGGGGUGAAAUCUUUCGGCUUAACCGGAAAAGUGCUUCUGAUACUGGUGGGCUAGAGGGAGGUAGGGGCAUGCGGAACUUCCGGUGGAGCGGUGAAAUGCGUUGAUAUCGGAAGGAACGCCGGUGGCGAAAGCGGCAUGCUGGAUCUCUUCUGACGCUGAGGCGCGAAAGCUAGGGGAGCGAACGGG